rnacentral:lncRNA from 1 species
AACAACGUAAGGCAAUGCGAGAAAAGUAAAGUGAGGUAAUUAAAUAGACAAGGCAAUUCAAACGUAAAUAAAGUUGAAUUAAACACGAACAUGCUUCAAUCUGAGACUUGAAUCUGGUACAAUGCAAGUAGACGGAAAUAAACUUUGACGGAAUGUAAAUGCGGGAAGAUAAAUGACUUCAAAAUAAUGGUGUUCCAAACUUGAUACAUGAACAAAAUGCGAUAACCCCUUGAUGUAAAAA